UKGACCUCAAAUCAGGUAGGAUUACCCGCUGAACUUAAGCAUAUCAAUAAGCGGAGGAAAAGAAACUAACAAGGAUUCCCCUAGUAACUGCGAGUGAAGCGGGAAGAGCUCAAAUUUGAAAUCUGACGGUUGUUGACCGUCCGAGUUGUAAUCUAGAGAAGUGUUACCUGUGCUGGACCGUGUACAAGUCUUCUGGAAUGGAGCAUCAUAGAGGGUGAGAAUCCCGUCUUUGACAUGGACUACCUGUACGUUGUGGUACGCUCUCAAAGAGUCGAGUUGUUUGGGAAUGCAGCUCAAAAUGGGUGGUAAAUGCCAUCUAAAGCUAAAUAUUGGCGAGAGACCGAUAGCGAACAAGUACCGUGAGGGAAAGAUGAAAAGAACUUUGGAAAGAGAGUUAAACAGUACGUGAAAUUGCUGAAAGGGAAACGCUUGAAGUCAGUCACGUCGGCUAGAAAUCAGCCUUGCUUCUGCUUGGUGUACUUUCUGGUUGAUGGGUCAGCAUCAAUUUUGACCAUUGGAUAAAGUCUCUGGGAAUGUGGCAUCUUUUUUUAGAUGUGUUAUAGCCCAUUGUCGCAUACGGUGGUUGGGAUUGAGGAACUCAGCAUGCCCUGCAAGGGGCCAGGUUUCGACCAUGUUCAUGCUUAGGAUGCUGGCAUAAUGGCUUCAAUCGACCCG
rnacentral:rRNA from 1 species